ensembl:lncRNA novel transcript
UUGCAGGGGCAGGGUGGUGAGUCCACGCAGGCUGCCUAAGGUGCAGACUGUCCACGUGAGGGAAGGCUCGGAGCUGGUUCCCCACCCAGAGCCUCCCUGGAGGCGCACGGCUUAACCACACAGGCCUGACCUCCGCGAGGCCUUCACACUGCACGUGCGCCUGGAUCCACUCCAGUCGGUCCGAGUUUUCCUUCUCCCGAACUCCCUCAUUCACUUGAGAGCACAGCUCCUCUGCCCGCUCGAGGGCCAGCUUUAGGGAGGAAUGGUCUGCAUGGCUCUCCGGGGUGUUCUCCAGAAUCUGGAAAAGAGUGGGCAGUGUCACAUGGGGGAGCUGCGUCUCUCACCUGCCCACCUGGACCUUCGCAGGACCGCUCCUCCAACCCCAUGUUAUGGACUGCUUCCAUGCCCUGGAAACGCGGCGGUGAACAAGACGACACUUUCCGCCCUUGAGAAACUCGUACUCCCACAAGUUCUUGGGGACACAGGGACAGGUAACGCUGCUGUGACAAGGUGACAGUGCUAAACGGAUCAAGUGCUCUGAACUGUGUGGGUCUCUGGUUGCUCUCCGACUGGCUCCCGGUAAUAGGCGGGAGCCUCCCGACUCCUUCCGAAAUUUAAGCCAUGUAAGGGUGCGCCCUCCUGUAUAAACUGGCUGCAGCUGUGGUAAGUGUGAACUUGCUGAAUAGCAAUGGUUCAUAACAAUUUUGGGGUCACUGAUCCUUUUGAAAAAAAUCUGAUGAAAGCAAUGACUCCCAUGCCACAGGAAAAAUACAAUAAAAUCACAUUGUCAGCAUGUGGAAGAAAUGCAUUCUGUUCAUUCUGAAGCGAUUUCAAACGACGCAUGCUGCAACUGUGAACGCGCAGAGGCCAGAAUACAAACGUGUGUGGUCCCUCCAGAAAUUAGGAGCCAUCACCAGAUGCCCCGUCUGGACUCUCUCACUCUAGUCAGAUGAGUGCACAGUCCUUCAUUUACAAUUCUAAAAUGCAGAACAGCCUGAGAGCCUAAAGUUUUUAUUCAGUACCCAUUUGGUGGCAAAAUCUGACCUAAACAGAAGAGAUAUAUUUACUUACUCUUACAGUGAUUGUUCUUAUGUUCCACUGUAGGAAUAUUAGUGUGUCUGGUUGUAAGUGCUACCCUAAGGCUCAGUUGAGGAGUCAUAUAUUAUAUGGUAUUUGAGCUACAUUCCGAAUUCUGAAACACAUCUGGCCCCAAGUAUUUCAAUGAAGGGGCUGUGAACCUGCAUUAUGGUUCAGUUUAGUGCAGGCGUCUAUCACAUGAGGUCUAUGUUGAGGUCACACAGCUAACAGACCAAAAGUCAAGGAAUCAUCAAUAGAAGUAACAAGCUUAUCAUAUUCCUGCUGCUUUUCUUUGUAAGUUACUGUAAUCAAUGGUUAAUCGUGGGAUAAUCUUUUGUAAAGUCUGCCUUUUCCUUAGAAGGCUUAUGGGCUCAAGAGGGCCCUAUUGCUUAUCAAAAAGAAAGCUGGAAGGAAUUUUAGAAGGAAUGUUGAAGCCGAAUACAGCGAGGGACACAAAUGAACUCUAUUUAUGAUGUGCCAAGUGGAGCCUCCUGGGACAUCUAGGAAAGGUGUUCAGGGUGGAUGGAGGCAGAUCUCAGAGGAAAGACUGGAGUCUAAGGUUACUCUGGUCUUUCUCUGGGUUCAAGAUGGGCUCCACAACUGGAGACCUAGAGGGGCCUUUCCCUGCCUGGACAAGUAUACUUAUGACUUUGAGAUGCUGGGGAGUUUCUUGAAAGGUGGGUGACAGGUUACCCAAGUGAUACUGGAUUCCUCUCUGAUUUGCCCACUUCAAGGAUUCAGCGUGUUUCUGUGCACACACACACACAGGCAUCUGGUCCCCGGGACAGUGGGAUCACUUGUGCGGUGUCACACUGUGUGCAGGGUGAGGUGGCAUGCUCAGGGCUCCCUGAGGAUCUGGCCUCUGUGGACCUCAGCGCAUCCUGCUCCUAACUCAGACCCCACUGCCCGGCCUGCACACUCACACUUCUGAUGAGCAGUGGGUAGCGGGUGAUCCUCUGCAUGGGUUUCAGCAGGAAGCUGGAGAGGGGCAUUCCUUUACACCGCGGGUCAGAUGCCAGCUUCUGCAAAACAACAGUGAGGCUCGUGAGGAAAUCACAGCUCCGAUCACAGGAAGCACUGGUCUUUGAUCGCCUUUUAGAUUUCACAUUUCUUUUAUUUAUUUAUGUUUCUCCCUGUCUUACUGUUUUAGAAUUUUUUUUAGGUGAGUGUUCUAUUUUUUAUUUUUAUUUUAAAAUUUGUGUAUAUUCACAACAUACAAGUGUAAUUUUGCUACACUGAUAUGUCGCACUGUAGUAAAGUGAGGGGGCUUCGACUUUCUUUUAAAUAACUCAGGAUCUAAAAUGAUACCUAUUAGGUUCACAGUAGGAAUAUCUCAGCUCAUGUGCCAAGCCCAGCGGAUGCUCCUCAGCUCUUUCCCAUGACCUGUGCUGGGACUGUCCCCUGCCCUCUCUUCUCGGAGCUGAUUCACACUUGACCCUCAAGACUCAGGCCCUGCUUCCCCUUGUCCAGGCUCUCCCCUGGGACACCUUCCCUCCUUUCCAUGACCCUCCCUGGCCACCUUUAGCAUACACCACAUGUGCACCAGGUGAUACAGGGAGAGGCAUCGUGUUGCAGUGUCUCUAUUCCACACCCGAUUUGUGAACGCCAGGCCCAGGGCCCACAUCCUACUUGCCUCUACCCCUAGCUCUGGUACACUGCCUGAAGACAGCAGCUGCUGCUCUAGGAUGGCAGCUUUUAAUGACUGAAAAGUACACUCACUGUAAUCCACCUCAUCAUUUCCCCACUACUGGAUAUUUAAAUUGCCCCCCUUUUGUUUUGGCCGUAUCUAUAUAGGUUGCUGUCACAAGCAUCUUCGUGCUUCUUAUUUCCAUAUUUUCUGAGUCUUUUUAAAAAGUAACAUUUUAGAACACAGCUUAUUGCUAGAUUUUGCUUUUUAAGGUAACCUAUAGCAGGCCUUUCAUGAGGCAGUAUUUUUAUUUAUUUUGACUACUGUUACAAUUGUGAUGACUUUGAAAUCCUAUUUACAUCAUUAUUUUAAAACAUGCACAUAUACUAACAAUUCUCAGUUUAUCUCAUUAUUCUGAUGAAUGUUUAAUUCUAUGGUCUUGGUUUCCAUGUUUCUUCCAGUUCAUUUCGAGGCAACUCCCUGCCUCCUACCCUUAUCACAAAUCGAAGGGCUCUGUCCUCACUGCCUUAUAUUGAAUCAUUUUUGCAUCCCUGAGAUCAUCGUAAGGAAAAAUACGAUAAUCAUUUAUUGAAUGCUAAUAGUAAUGUGUUGGUCUCUGAGUUAAAGUCCUUUAAAAGUACUGUGUGAUAAUCUCCUUUUAUAGAUGAGGGGACUGAAGGCACCCACAUGUUAAAUAACUUGCCUCUGGUCACACAAUUAGACAGUGACGGGGCCGAGAUUCUGAAGCCUGUCUUGUUCUAAGCAUAGUAUGCUAUAGCCUCCUGAGAUAAUCCUAUUUGGUUAUGAUAGGCUCUUCUUUUCAUGUAAUGCUUAAUUUUAUGAAUUGUUACUUUAAUUAAGAGUUUAACAGCUGUAUUUGUAAAUGAUAGUGGGUUUUAACUUAAACAGGCCUUGGAAUCAUGGCUACUUUUGCUUUAUAGAAUGAAUUAGGUGACCUUUUUACUUUUUCCUAUGAUCUGUAACAGUUUGUAUAAUAUAGAAUAAUCUGUUCCUUUAGAGUUGGAGAGAAUUCCCUGUUAAAUCCAUCAAGUGAACCCAGCUCCUUUUUGGGAACUGUGCAGAGCGUGUGAAGAAUCUCACCACCUCAAGACAUUUUUCGAAGUUACUGAAAUGAUUAAAUGAAUCAGAUGCUUCAGACCACUCCAAACUGCAGGUCAUGAGCCAUUAGUGGGUCAUUAUAUCAUUUUGGUUUUAAAAUGCUGGUCAGGCCCAGCAUUAAAAAAUAAAUAAAUAGAAAUUACCAUGCAUAUGGCUUUGGUAAAUAUUGUGAAAUGUUUAGUUAUGUAUGUAUUCGAAAUGUAAAAUGUAUUUCUCACUGUGAGCUACUGUUAAAAAAAUGUUUGAGAAACAGUCUCUAGAUUUCUUAAAGGAAAGUUCUAAGGUUAUAAAACCUGAAAUUCCCAGAUCCCAGCAAUUCCCAGAAGACCACUGCCUCAUCUCACUAGAACAAAUAACUCCUGGUACACUGCAGAUAUCCAGCCACAAAUGACAGGAAAGUCACAAGCAACCUUGCAUCAGGGUGAGAGGUACUGCAUUCACUAUGGAUCAAUUCACAGGCACAUCACAGCUGAACUAGAUGUCAAACUAUGAAGUGACAUAAUUCCAGAGUCACUUAACAAGUAGCUGAGGGCUUGCCUAUACACAGUGAUGUGGCGAAAUACCUCAGGAAACCCUUCUUAGAAAAAAAAGCAAAAGCAGCCGGGCAUGGUGGCUCACACCUUUGGGAGUAAUCCCAGCACUUUGGGAGGCCAAGGUGGGUGUAUCACGAGGUCAGGAGAUCGAGACCAUCCUGGCUAACACGGUGAAACCCCGUCUCUACUAAAAUUACAAAAAAUUAGCCAGGCGUGGUGGUGGGCGCCUGUAGUCCCAGCUACUCAGGAGGCUGAGGCAGCAGAAUGGUGUGAACCCAGGAGGUGGAGGUUGCAGUGAGCCG